AAAUAUGGCCACUUCCUUCAACAAUCCUAACCCGACCUCAUCAGAUACCGUAACUUCAUAUACAGUAAAUACGCUUAGUCAUCAAGCAUGCAAAGUUAAAAUACAAUCUCUGAAAGGUUUUUCAGAAUGAUAGUUUUGAUUGAUUUGAGAAACGUUAAUGGAACACCAGAUUAAAAAAAACAAAGCAAGUAAAAAAUAUUUCACUUUGGAAACAGACAUUCAAAGAGUAGAAUGUGAAGAAAACAUACAUCAAUUCAAAACUGAAAAUAAACAUACCAGCCAACACGUACACAGGAACAGUAAAAUUCCUACUGAGACACCCCCAUGCUAAUGGGGGAGUGAAGACAAGAUAAGCGUAAAGUAGAAGGCUGGACUAGGUCCUCUUUAUGUACCUUUUGUGAACUGCUUCUUAAAUGGAAUUUAGCAUUAUUACAGAUAAUCAGUAGCUAAUUUACAGCUCAACAUUUUGGAACUUAAACCGUAUGGCAGAAUUUAUAGGGCACUGUAAAUACAACACACAGGUCAGACAUUAUGUCCACCUUCACUUCCGAGAUGAGGAAACUGACAGUUUGUCCACAGUUAACAGCAGGUUAGUGCUGGAAUUCCUGGGUACUGCUUCUAAAGUCAGCGCUCUUCACACCGACACAACUCCGUGUGGAGUAACGGAAGACAGUAAUAGUAUUAAACUACUAACUGAAAUCUUUAUUUCGGUUCAAUAACGAAGAACAUAAGGCCUUAGAGCCCGGCCUACAUCUUCCAUUCAGUAUAAGAAGCUGUCAGUAUUGUCAACAUAAGGGCACUUGUUUCAAGAAAACAAGAGCCUCGACGACUAAGUGACGUCUAAGGAUGCAGUCUACAGAUUGUAUACAUAUCACUUCCAUGCAUGAAGAUGGUCCAGAAACGGGUCACUCUUCAACAUGGAUUGAGAAACAAAGAACAGAGCCACACAGAAUAGAACUGCCACAGCUCAGUCCCAGCCAACUGCAGAACUGCAGGACAAGUCAUGAAAACAGCAUAACACACAAGCCUCCAGGUCCAUUCCCUCAUGCCAUCACUAAGCAGCCAUCCUACAUUCUGAGAGGACAGCCUGAGGACCAAGUCACACACUGAGGCUGGAAAAAUCUAAGCCUCCGAUGACACUGUUGAGCCACUGAAUAUACAACCCCAGUGCCACCAUCUUCUGGAACUCUUGAAUGAAUGACAGCAGAGAAGCCUGACCUUGCAGAACAGCUGAGGAGUGCAUCCUCACCAAACGGGGAGGGUAGAUGCUUUACCCUCAGCUGUCCCUGCAGCUGCUCAGCCAGAUUUCCACAGCAGAUCCAGCAUCCCUCUGCU